rnacentral:sRNA from 1 species
CGCAGUGCAGAACGUGGUUUACAAUCAGUUCGAAUUGAAUAACAUCAUGAAGUGGCUAUCUCUAGUUUUCGCCUUAGCCGUAUUGGCUCUAGCCAGUGCAAACCCUUUGCAACCGGAUGUGGUCAUCAAUGGGGAUUGCAAGAAGUGCAACGUGCACGGCGGCUAAAAACACUCAAAUAUUAUAAUAAAUAAAUCGAAAUAAACAAAUGAAUGCACUGUA